GCGGCUGUGACCCUGCUGGAGUGCGGGGGGCACCUCCAGCCCCCGGGGGGGUCCCUGCGCCUCCUCUGCCAAGGGGCUGGGUUCAGUCUUGGGAGUGUUGCAAUGGGAUGGAUGCGCCAGAGACCCGAGCAGGGGCUGGAAUUCAUCGCCAGUAUCAGCUACAAUGGUCGUAGCACCAACCACGAGCCAUCAGUCAAGGGCCGGUUCACGAUCUCCAGGGACAACGGGCAGAGCUCGGUGACGCUGACCAUGAACAACCUCAAGGACGAGGAUUCCGCCUCCUAUUUCUGUAUCCUGAACCGGCCCUGCACAGAUGAUGAUUAG